rnacentral:rRNA from 1 species
UACGAAGGGGGCGAGCGUUGUUCGGAUUUACUGGGCGUAAAGGGCGCGUAGGCGGCCUUGUUUGUCAGGCGUGAAAGCCCUGGGCUCAACCUGGGAACUGCGCUUGGGACGGCGAGGCUAGAGAUCGGGAGAGGAGAGUGGAAUUCCCAGUGUAGAGGUGAAAUUCGUAGAUAUUGGGAAGAACACCGGUGGCGAAGGCGGCUCUCUGGACCGAUACUGACGCUGAGGCGCGAAAGCGUGGGGAGCAAACAGG